rnacentral:rRNA from 1 species
AUUGAACGCUGGCGGCAUGCCUAACACAUGCAAGUCGAACGGCAGCACGGGAGCUUGCUCCUGGUGGCGGAGUGGCGGACGGGUGAGUAAUGCAUAGGGAAUCUGCCCAGUAGCGGGGACAACUUGGGGAAACUCAAGCUAAUACCGCAUGCGCCCGUACGGGGGAAAGCGGGGGAACCUUCGGGCCUCGCACUAUUGGAUGAGCCUAUGUCAGAUUAGCUUGUUGUGGGGUAACGGCCUACCAAGGCGACGAUCUGUAGCUGGUCUGAGAGGACGAUCAGCCACACUGGGACUGAGACACGGCCCAGACUCCUACGGGAGGCAGCAGUGGGGAAUUUUGGACAAUGGGCGCAAGCCUGAUCCAGCCAUGCCGCGUGAGUGAAGAAGGCCUGGUGUAAG